AGUGAACGCUGGCGGUAGGCCUAAUACAUGCAAGUCGAACGGCAGCACAGUAAGAGCUUGCUCCUACGGGUGGCGAGUGGCGGACGGGUGAGGCAUACAUCGGAAUCUACUUUUUCGUGGGGGAUAACGUGGGGCAACUUACGCUAAUACCGCAUACGUCCUACGGGUGAAAUCAGGGGUUCUUCGGACCUUGCGCGAUUGUAUGAGCCGAUGUCGGAUUAGCUAGUUGGCGGGGUAAAGGCCCACCAAGGCGACGAUCCGUAGCUGGUCUGAGAGGAUGAUCAGCCACACUGGAACUGAGACACGGUCCAGACUCCUACGGGAGGCAGCAGUGGGGAAUAUUGGACAAUGGGCGCAAGCCUGAUCCAGCCAUGCCGCGUGGGUGAAGAAGGCCUUCGGGUUGUAAAGCCCUUUUGUUGGGAAAGAAAAGCAGCAGGUUAAUACCCCGCUGUUCUGACGGUACCCAAAGAAUAAGCACCGGCUAACUUCGUG
rnacentral:rRNA from 1 species